UACGUAGGUGGCAAGCGUUGUCCGGAUUUACUGGGUGUAAAGGGCGUGUAGCCGGGAAGGCAAGUCAGAUGUGAAAUCCGGAGGCUCAACCUCCGAAUUGCAUUUGAAACUGUUUUUCUUGAGCACUGGAGAGGCAGACGGAAUUCCUUGUGUAGCGGUGAAAUGCGUAGAUAUAAGGAGGAACACCAGUGGCGAAGGCGGUCUGCUGGACAGCAACUGACGGUGAGGCGCGAAAGCGUGGGGAGCAAACAGG
rnacentral:rRNA from 1 species